UACGUAGGGCGCAAGCGUUAUCCGGAAUUAUUGGGCGUAAAGAGCUCGUAGGCGGUUUGUCGCGUCUGCCGUGAAAGUCCGGGGCUCAACUCCGGAUCUGCGGUGGGUACGGGCAGACUAGAGUGAUGUAGGGGAGACUGGAAUUCCUGGUGUAGCGGUGAAAUGCGCAGAUAUCAGGAGGAACACAGGUGGCGAAGGCGCCACUCUGGGCCGAAACUGACGCUGAGGAGCGAAAGCGUGGGUAGCAAACAGG
rnacentral:rRNA from 1 species